rnacentral:rRNA from 1 species
CCUACGGGAGGCAGCAGUGAGGAAUAUUGGUCAAUGGACGAGAGUCUGAACCAGCCAAGUAGCGUGAAGGAUGACUGCCCUAUGGGUUGUAAACUUCUUUUAUAUGGGACUAAAAUGUUCCACGUGUGGGAUUUUGUAUGUACCAUAUGAAUAAGGAUCGGCUAACUCCGUGCCAGCAGCCGCGGUAAUACGGAGGAUCCGAGCGUUAUCCGGAUUUAUUGGGUUUAAAGGGAGCGUAGGUGGAUUGUUAAGUCAGUUGUGAAAGUUUGCGGCUCAACCGUAAAAUUGCAGUUGAAACUGGCAGUCUUGAGUGCAGUAGAGGUGGGCGGAAUUCGUGGUGUAGCGGUGAAAUGCUUAGAUAUCACGAAGAACUCCGAUGGCGAAGGCAGUUCACUGGACUGCAACUGACACUGAGGCUCGAAAGUGUGGGUAUCAAACAGGAUUAGAUACCCCUGUAGUC